ACCGACUGAAUAUAAUAAUAAUAUAAUAUAGACAGCAUUGACCACCGCUGUAAGCAGGUAAACGUAUACUACGCUGCAGAAAACCUGUAAACCCGUCUCCGUGACCGAAGACCGUAUUAUUUUUCUGAAUAACACCGGACCCGGGCAUGAAUUUCGUCAAUUUUUCUUCAAAACAUGUUAUUAUUUUAUUAUAAUAUAUAGUAGUGCCUACUCGUAUUAUACGGUCGACGACGUACUCCGUUGACACAGUGUUUCAUAAUAAAAACCCAACUAUACGCGAAUAAUGGAGGUCCGUUAUCCAUUGUCGUUAAGUAUUAAUACGGUUUGUUAUGAUGUGCGAAGAGCUGCUGCCACCGCUACUAGUGCACGUGUAUGUUUCCCUCUCGUCUUCUCUCGUCACCGUCGCGUUUUUACGACAAAGGAAUACUAUAAUACGGCAGCUACCACGGUCUUCUCUCAUAAUAAUAUUAUUAUUAUUAUUAUUACUUCACCGGAAGAUUUUUCGUAUCUCUCCCGGGGGACAAUAAUUAGUCAGGUAUUAUUAUUAUUAUUAACCAGUGUAGAUAAUUGAAAUUUGUUAAUCUGAACGCCGAGCCGAUAUUUUAUAGCGACACGCACCAUUUAUUAAUUAUACGCUCGUAUAUAUUGUGCAUAAAUAAUUAUUUUUUGUAUACUUAAAGGAUCGUUCAACCGGCGGCAGCGGCGGCGGCGGCGACGACGACAGCGGCGGUGUGUAUCGGUUCGUAUAACCUGGCGAGGAGCAUAUGGUAUGCGAAAAAUUCAAGACAACAAAGAAACACG